GAUGAACGCUGGCGGCGUGCCUAAUACAUGCAAGUCGAGCGAACAGACGAGGAGCUUGCUCCUUCGACGUUAGCGGCGGACGGGUGAGUAACACGUAGGUAACCUACCUAUAAGACUGGGAUAACUUCGGGAAACCGGAGCUAAUACCGGAUAAUAUUUCGAACCGCAUGGUUCGAUAGUGAAAGAUGGCUUUGCUAUCACUUAUAGAUGGACCUGCGCCGUAUUAGCUAGUUGGUAAGGUAACGGCUUACCAAGGCAACGAUACGUAGCCGACCUGAGAGGGUGAUCGGCCACACUGGAACUGAGACACGGUCCAGACUCCUACGGGAGGCAGCAGUAGGGAAUCUUGCGCAAUGGGCGAAAGCCUGACGGAGAAACGCCGCGUGAGUGAUGAAGGUCUUCGGAUCGUAAAACUCUGUUAGUAGGGAAGAACAAACGUGUAAGUAACUGUGCACGUCUUGACGGUACCUAAUCAGAAAGCCACGGCUAACUACGUG
rnacentral:rRNA from 1 species